rnacentral:rRNA from 1 species
UACGGGGGGGGCAAGCGUUGUUCGGAAUUACUGGGCGUAAAGGGCUCGUAGGCGGCCAACUAAGUCCGACGUGAAAUCCCCAGGCUUAACCUGGGAACUGCGUCGGAUACUGGAUGGCUUGAAUUCGGGAGAGGAAUGCAGAAUUCCAGGUGUAGCGGUGAAAUGCGUAGAUAUCUGGAGGAAUACCGGUGGCGAAGGCGGCAUCCUGGACCGAGAUUGACGCUGAGGAGCGAAAGCUAGGGGAGCAAACGGG